UAGGGAAUCUUCCACAAUGGACGCAACCCCUGACCGAGCAACGCCGCGUGAGUGAAGAAGGUUUUCGGAUCGUAAAGCUCUGUUGUAAGAGAAGAACGUGUGUGAGAGUGGAAAGUUCACACAGUGACGGUAACUUACCAGAAAGGGACGGCUAACUACGCGCCAG
rnacentral:rRNA from 1 species